GAGUGAAGCGGCAACAGCUCAAAUUUGAAAUCUGGCCCUUGGGUCCGAAUUGUAAUUUGUAGAGGAUGAUUUUGGUGCGGUAUCUUCCGAGUUCCUUGGAACAGGACGCCUUAGAGGGUGAGAGCCCCGUACGGUUGAAUGCCUAGCCUCUGUAAAUCUCCUUCGACGAGUCGAGUAGUUUGGGAAUGCUGCUCUAAAUGGGAGGUAAAUUUCUUCUAAAGCUAAAUACUGGCCAGAGACCGAUAGCGCACAAGUAGAGUGAUCGAAAGAUGAAAAGCACUUUGAAAAGAGGGUUAAAUAGCACGUGAAAUUGUUGAAAGGGAAGGAUUUAUGACCAGACUUUUUCUGGGCGGAUCAUCCGGUGUUCUCACCGGUGCACUUUGCCCAGUUUAGGCCAGCAUCGAUUUUCGGAGAGGGAUAAAAGCUUUGGGAAUGUGGCUCCCCCGGGAGUGUUAUAGCCCAUUGUAUAAUACCUUUUUGGGGAUCGAGGUACGCGCUUCUGCAAGGAUGCUGGCGUAAUGGUUAUCAAUCACCCGUCUUGAAACACGGACCAAGGAGUCGAACAUUUGUGCGAGUGUUUGGGUGUUAAACCCUCACGCGUAAUGAAAGUGAACGGAGGUGAGAGCCCUUACGGGUGCAUCAUCGACCGAUCCUGAAGUUUUCGGAUGGAUUUGAGUAAGAGCAUAACUGUUCGGACCCGAAAGAUGGUGAACUAUGCGUGGAUAGGGUGAAGCCAGAGGAAACUCUGGUGGAGGCUCGCAGCGGUUCUGACGUGCAAAUCGAUCGUCAAAUCUGCGCAUGGGGGCGAAAGACUAAUCGAACCAUCUA
rnacentral:rRNA from 1 species